CAGCGUUUGACAUGUCCGGACGAUUUCCAGAGAUGGAUCUCUUCCCUUCGGGGACUGGAACACAGGUGCUGCAUGGCUGUCGUCAGCUCGUGUCGUGAGAUGUUGGGUUAAGUCCCGCAACGAGCGCAACCCUCGCCUUUAGUUACCAUCAUUAAGUUGGGUACUCUAAAGGAACCGCCGGUGAUAAGCCGGAGGAAGGUGGGGAUGACGUCAAGUCCUCAUGGCCCUUACGCGCUGGGCUACACACGUGCUACAAUGGCAACUACAGUGGGCAGCGACCCUGCGAGGGCGAGCUAAUCCCCAAAAGUUGUCUCAGUUCGGAUUGUUCUCUGCAACUCGAGAGCAUGAAGGCGGAAUCGCUAGU
rnacentral:rRNA from 1 species